rnacentral:rRNA from 1 species
GACGAACGCUGGCGGCGUGCUUAACACAUGCAAGUCGAACGGAAAGGCCCUGCUUUUGUGGGGUGCUCGAGUGGCGAACGGGUGAGUAACACGUGAGUAACCUGCCCUUGACUUUGGGAUAACUUCAGGAAACUGGGGCUACUACCGGAUAGGAGCUCCUGCUGCAUGGUGGGGGUUGGAAAGUUUCGGCGGUUGGGGAUGGACGGGCGGCUUAUCAGCUUGUUGGUGGGGUAGUGGCUUACCCAGGCUUUGACGGAUAGCCGGCCUGAGAGGGUGACCGGCCACAAUGGGACUGAGAGACGGCGCAGACUCCUACGGGAGGCAGCAGUGGGGAAUAUUGCACAAUGGGCGGAAGCCUGAUGCAGCAACGCCGCGUGCGGGAUGACGGCCUUCGGGGUGUAAACAGCUGUCGCCUGUGACGAAGCGUGAGUGACGGUAAUGGGUAAAGAAGCACCGGCUAACUACGUG